UGCUAAUUCUGAAUUAUGUCCUACACGGCACCUCAUAGAAAUCAUGAAAAUGUUCCUAAAAUACUUGUUCAUUUUUCUAGCUCAGUCUCAUUGGGGGAUUGGGUGGUUUAGUCUCGCCAUCCGCUCCUUGUCCACGGCAGACUGAACAGCCAAAAUAGUCCCUGGAUGACAAAGACAGAACAUAUUAUUUCAACUUAUUUGCAGUUUUGUUUUUUCAAAAGGUUGUAACGUACAUUUUGACAUCAUGAAGGGGUUACAUUUAAUUUAUUAUUCUAUUAAAACUAAUAAAGUUGGGGUUUGAACUAACCCAUUAACUUCUGAGAAUAAUAUAACAAGUCUGGAAGUACCAACUCAAUGUUGUAUGAGGGCUGUUUCAUUGCUUCAAUAAAAUCAUUUCCCCUCUUGAAGUAAAAAUAAAUGAAUUAUUAAAGCUGUUUUGCUUUAAAAAGUUGCAAAGUACAACAACAACAAAAGAAUACCUUAAAGCUCAGCACAGACUUUCUCCUUCAGUUCUGUGACAUUGGAUAUGGCGUCAUACACGAUGGUGUCUAAAGGAAGUUUCUGCAACACAAAAAUAAAUAAAAAUAUAAAUGAUUUUUUUUGGGUCUACCACAAACUUUAUUAUUAUUUAUUUUAUUUAUUAUUAUUAUUCCGAAAGACUUGACAGUUAAAGGUUAACUCAAGUCCUCAGAGGAACUGUUGAAAGACUAGUUUGUCUUGGGUGCGUGAUUGCUUUUGGAACUGACUUUCAGCUCCUCCUGUCAAAUAAAUAAAACAGUUGAGUUUUGUCACCAACAUGUCUCUAUACUCUAAAGGCCAACUGAUGGAAAUCAACUGCUGACUGCUUGGAAAAACUUUCUUGCACAAAACCAUGUGAGCAUUUUGCUCAAAAUGGUGGUGACAAAAACUUCAUCUUUUCUAGUUUUUGAUUGUAAAUAACAUUCCUGUUUUCAACAUGAACAUGAUUCUAGACUUACUUUGUCAGUAGCAGCAGUGGGAGGCUCAGCAGCUUCUUUGUUGGCAGCAUUGAGUUAACACACACUCUGGAUUGAGUGGACACAUUUCACGUGUUUAAAAAUAAAAACUAAAGACAAGUUGUUUUGACUAGAGAAAGAAAUCAACCUGUUUUUCUCUGCAUACAUUCCACUCUAUCCACUCCACCAUAAUGUGGAUUUCACUGUCCACGGUUUUCACUGUGGCUGAAUGGACUCGACCUGUUAGGAGGAAGCGAAUUCAGAGAAAAACUAAUGUCCCGGAGGGGUGAAAAAACAACAACAAAUAUAAAUAUAUUGUAAUGGCCACAAGGAAACUCCUUAGUCGGGCGAUUGUCAAAAAGCUUUCUUUAUUCACUUUCCACGUCGGAACGGUUACAACAGGAGCAAAAUGGCGCAGCCUGCUCUUUCAUUCUGCAGGGCAACGAUGUUCACCCAAUGCACACACAUAGGUAGAUCCCGCCUCCAGCAACUGGCAGAAAGAGGGGUGUGCAGGUUGCAGGGGGGUAAUGCGAGUCUUGUGUGACCCAAGACGAUUGCACAUGAGGGAAAACACCCGGGACUCAAAGUUUCGGCCCUGGUUGGAGUGUAUGGUCUCCGGAACUCCAAAACGGCUAAUCAUGCCCUCCAGGAGGGCGUCCACAACCGUUUCUGCCUCCUGGUCAGGCAAUGCGUAUGCCUCUGGCCACAGAGUAAAGUAAUCUAUGGCAGAGAGAACAUACCGGUUACCUUUUGGCAGAGCGCAGCAAUGGGCCUAAGAUGUCCUUUGCCACCCUCUCCAUCAGCCCUCACACCUGAAAUUGUUGGAGAGGAGCAUGUGACUGGUCUGAGGGACCCUUGCAGGCUAUGCAGAGGUUGCACUGACGGCAAAAGUCCUCCCUUUCCUCCUACAUUGCCCCCAGUAAAAGCGUUUUUUGCAACUCCAAAAUGUCUGGACCUCGCCACUCGAGGCAUGGCCUGCAGCCCCAAUUAUUAUUCCCAUUAAUUUUAUUAUUAUAAAGGGCAGUGGAUCUGUGGAUCAGAGUAGCAAAACAAUGAGUAAGAUCAUCUAUUUGCUAGCAUAGAAAAAGCUAAUAGUUGUGAGCAGCACUCAGUUAUGCCUGCCACUCAGAGCUGAAAAGUCAUUAAAAAUAAAAGAAGCUAAUUUUGAUUUUCACCCCAGUGAUUGAUUUAGUAGAAGCAGAGACAGUAAAAAUAUAGUUUAUUAAGAGGCCAGCAACUCUUUUUGCUCUUACAACCAGCAAUUUGAAAAUUUGGUUCAUCUACUUCCAAAAAAUGAAUAUGCUGACCUGACUCUUGAAGUUUGAGCUCGCUGAAUCAGUAGCUUUGCAAUAAUAUGAGCUAUUAAGACAGGUCGUAGCAUAUUGGUCAGUAAAAAAAUGUAUCUAUAGACAGGAGGAAGGUGCGGGAAUACUUGAAGAUCAAACUUGUUGUUCAUACUCCUGCAAAAGUAACAGAUGUUCCUGGUGUAAUAGGUGACAGAGGGCAGUGGCUAGACUCUGCUUGGAGCCGGUCUAGAAUGGAGAUGUAAGGCUCCUCCUUCCCUCCACUAGCCUGGGUGUACACCUUGGGCAAGUGUUAGCACACCCUGAGCCUCCCUAGUCAGGGUACGACAUUGGCAGUUCUGGCUAUCAACUCGGUACCAGUUCCGGAAGUCGGCAGUGAUAUCUACGUCAACUCGGCAACAUCUCUGGCAACAAGCAACAGAAGAGUUAUGCAUUUGUUUCAACUAUGUUGUGCCACUGGGCAACAUAAUCUUCUGCCAAGGCACAUUAUUGUGCACCGUUUAGUGUCGUCAUCGUAGGUGCAGCCUCACUUUAAUCAUGGAAGUAAAUUCGAAUUUGACAAAUCAUAUUACCGCGUUCGGGGUAGCUGAUGUGCCACAGGACACGGCCGUUGUGAACGAGAAACGAAAUCCGUGGAUCAGGAGGAUCCUGAUAACUGGACCCUGGAUAACUUUCCUCGUUAUCCAGGGUUUGUUAUUUGUGAAGCAAUUAACUUUUUUUGUGAGCACAACAUUCUCCAUACAGAAGUUCAUAUAAUCUGUUAUGCAUUGAGAUGCUCUCUCUGAGAUGUCCUCUCCAUAAUGAUCCAGCAGGACACUCCAGUCAGUGGUUUCAAAACAGUCCCUGAGCUCCGCCUCAGGUGUCCACCCCCUCGCGCUCCGUUUUAUUGCAGGCUGUCUCCUCACCAAAGGUGUGUAUGUAGGCUGUAAGGAGAUCAAAACGUGAUCUGAUUUGCAGAGAGUGGGGAGGGGUGUGGCCUGAUAGGCAUCUUUGAUGUUGCAAUAAAACAAAUCAAUCGUCAUGUCAUUGCGAGUUGGGCAGUUCACAUACUGCUGCAUAGAUGACAAGGGGGAAUCCAGGGAGACAUGAUUAAAGUCCCCUGAGAUGACCACAAGUGCCUGUGGGUGCCGUGCUUGUAGUUCCAUGACCGUAUUAACAACCACCUCCAUUGCUGUUUCUGCGUGCGCUCUGGGAGGGAUGUAAACACUGCAUGAAUUCUCAGGUGUGCUUGGAGAUAAGCCUUCUGAUUAAAGCUUCUACCACAUUCUUCACAAGAAAAAAGCUUUUCUCCUAAGUUAAUUCUCAGGUGUGUUUCACGAAUAUAAAAUGCAAAACUUAGUUAUGGAAAAAGUACUUUUUCUUACUUUUCCAUUGUAGAUCUCAAAGAAACUGACAUAGACAGACGAAUCCAGAUAAGCAAAGUUCCUGUAGUUCAGAUGGGCGAAAACAUCUUGGGCUAAAUGGAGAGAAUACAAUUGAAUUAAAAUUAGAGAAGAUCAACACUUUUCAAAUGUAAAAAUAAUACCUCUUUGUAUCUUCAAAAUUAUUUUAUUCUGGCUCUACAGUUAAAAAGAAAUACUAAAAAAUUCAGAGACCAAGCAUUAAGAUUGUCCCCUAACCUGCAAGAGCAUAUAUUUAUUACUUUGGAGAUCUUCUGCCACUUGUUGUGAAAUCUCCCAUUGUCUGCCACUAAUAGAAAGUAUUAGUGUUUAAGUCAGUAAACCUUGGCUGUGUCCAAAUUCCCACCCUAAUCCCAAACUACUAAAACCUAUAUAGUGCGGCACUAGAUAGUUCCCAUGAUUUAAAAGCAAUUCGGACACCCAUGCUCACUAAUUUUCUCUUUCGGGUGUUGUUCAUAUGGCACUUGACAAGAAAACAGAAUGGCGCAUUACUGCCACCACCUGGUCUGGAGGCAAACUAAAUAUUAUAUAUAUAUUAUAAAUAUUAACCUGGCGGUUUUCCUGUUUGCAAUAAUUCGAUUGUUUUUUGUGAGAUCAAUCCGAAAAUGAGCAGAUAUGCAGCACGGGGCAGCAAGGAGGAGAAGCAGACGUCUCACAGCGGCAAGGAGGAGAAGCAGACGUCUCAGAUUCAGAAGUUUUCCUCUGGCUGCCCUAGCCAGUGUUGAGGGUCUUCCGCGUCUCUACUGCCUUGCCAACAUAAAGGUGUCUGUCCUGGUCCUCUACGCUGACGGUCAGUCCGACACAAGACCAGAUUUUCACUUGGCCCGCAGGACCAUUGAGCAUCUGGUGGAGCAGCUUUGGGUUCCUCACAAUCUGGGGUGGGCGCAGGAGACUGAGGUCCUGGUGUUCGUUUUUUGGCACAUCUUACCGUGUUGUAGCCAGGGCCUUUGACAUGCCACGGUCCACUGUGAGUGACAUUGUCCACAGGACGGCGGACCGCAUCCUGCCUGCUGAUGCAAAGGGUCAUCCGGCUUCCCAGUAUUAACUGCCAUUAGUGGCCAUUGGUUUUAAGCAGCUUGCUGGGUUUGCUGCCUUCCAAGAGGUCGUCGGGAGCAUUGAUGGCUGCCACAUAAGAAUUAAGGCCCCAAAACAUUAUUUAAUCACACUGCUGACACCCUACAGGGAACCCCUGAGGAUUGCGGUUGAGGCCCUGUGGUGGAGAGAGCAUUUGGGAUGAUGAAGACAAGGUGGAGAGCAAUAUUUCCUGUCAGCUCCAACUGUUCCACAAAUGGUUCUAGAAGACCAUGAGUAUUGUUAAGAUGUACACAAAAGUGUUAAAUAUAAGAUGAAACUGUAAAUAUUUACCUUUGAUGUUUAUGAUUGUUAAUGUUAUUUGAGAUUGUUAAAAAUGGCUCAGGUUUAAAUAAUACAUGUAAUUAAUUUCUGUUCAUGCAUUUAUUAAAAUAAUUGGAAAAAUAAGAACAACAA